rnacentral:lncRNA from 1 species
UUUACUCAGAAAUUAGAAUCAGAACAGAUGAUUAGUAUAUGAGAUUUUCAUUCCAAUUUCGAUUUCUGGUGCAUUGUGAAUCGCCCAAUCACUUAUUUUCUCUAAUCGUAGGAGGCGGGAUUGGAAAUUAAAUUCUGGCGGAAUGAAUGCUUGAUCCAAACAUAGUUCGAUUAUAAUGUAUAAUUUUUAUUUGAAAUUAAAAUAAUUUUUUAAAAUUUAAUUUUUAAUUAAAAUAUGAGUUCAAAAUUAAGAAUUGAAAUUUCAAAUUUUCGAU